UACGAAGGGGGCGAGCGUUGUUCGGAUUUACUGGGCGUAAAGGGCGCGCAGGCGGCGGAUCAAGUCAGGCGUGAAAGCCCCGGGCUUAACCUGGGAGGUGCGUCUGGGACUGAUUUGCUAGAGAUCGGGAGAGGUGAGUGGAAUUCCUAGUGUAGAGGUGAAAUUCGUAGAUAUUAGGAAGAACACCAGUGGCGAAGGCGGCUCACUGGCCCGGUACUGACGCUGAGGCGCGAAAGCGUGGGGAGCAAACAGG
rnacentral:rRNA from 1 species